rnacentral:rRNA from 1 species
UACGGGGGGGAGCAAGCGUUGUUCGGAUUUACUGGGCGUAAAGGGCGCGUAGGCGGCCAGCACAAGUCAGUUGUGAAAUCUCCGAGCUUAACUCGGAAAGGUCAACUGAUACUGUGCGGCUAGAGUGCGGAAGGGGCAACUGGAAUUCUCGGUGUAGCGGUGAAAUGCGUAGAUAUCGAGAGGAACACCUGCGGCGAAGGCGGGUUGCUGGGCUGAUACUGACGCUGAGGCGCGAAAGCCAGGGGAGCGAACGGGG